GACGAACGCUGGCGGCGUGCUUAACACAUGCAAGUCGAACGGAAAGGCCCUGCUUUUGCGGGGUGCUCGAGUGGCGAACGGGUGAGUAACACGUGAGUAACCUGCCCCUGACUUUGGGAUAACUUCAGGAAACUGGGGCUAAUAUCGGAUAGGAGCUCUUGCUGCACGGGGGGGGUUGGAAAGUUUCGGCGGUUGGGGAUGGACUCGCGGCUUAUCAGCUGGUUGGUGGGGUAGUGGCUUACCAAGGCUUUGACGGGUAGCCGGCCUGGGAGGGUGACCGGCCACAUUGGGACUGAGAUACGGCCCAGACUCCUACGGGAGGCAGCAGUGGGGAAUAUUGCGCAGUGGGCGGAAGCCUGAUGCAGCAGCGCCGCGUGCGGGAUGACGGCCUUCGGGUUGUAAACCGCUUUCGCCUGUGACGAAGCGUGAGUGACGGUAAUGGGUAAAGAAGCACCGGCUAACUACGUG
rnacentral:rRNA from 1 species